ACGGGUGAGUAAUGCCUAGGAAUCUGCCUGGUAGUGGGGGACAACGUUUCGAAAGGAACGCUAAUACCGCAUACGUCCUACGGGAGAAAGCAGGGGACCUUCGGGCCUUGCGCUAUCAGAUGAGCCUAGGUCGGAUUAGCUAGUUGGUGGGGUAAUGGCUCACCAAGGCGACGAUCCGUAACUGGUCUGAGAGGAUGAUCAGUCACACUGGAACUGAGACACGGUCCAGACUCCUACGGGAGGCAGCAGUGGGGAAUAUUGGACAAUGGGCGAAAGCCUGAUCCAGCCAUGCCGCGUGUGUGAAGAAGGUCUUCGGAUUGUAAAGCACUUUAAGUUGGGAGGAAGGGCAGUAAGCGAAUACCUUGCUGUUUUGACGUUACCGACAGAAUAAGCACCGGCUAACUCUGUGCCAGCAGCCGCGGUAAUACAGAGGGUGCAAGCGUUAAUCGGAAUUACUGGGCGUAAAGCGCGCGUAGGUGGUUUGUUAAGUUGGAUGUGAAAGCCCCGGGCUCAACCUGGGAACUGCAUCCAAAACUGGCAAGCUAGAGUACGGUAGAGGGUGGUGGAAUUUCCUGUGUAGCGGUG
rnacentral:rRNA from 6 species